rnacentral:rRNA from 1 species
GUACACUCCUACGGGAGGCAGCAGUGGGGAAUAUUGAACAAUGGGCGCAAGCCUGAUCCAGCCAUGCCGCGUGAGUGAUGAAGGCCCUAGGGUUGUAAAGCUCUUUCACCGGUGAAGAUAAUGACGGUAACCGGAGAAGAAGCCCCGGCUAACUUCGUGCCAGCAGCCGCGGUAAUACGAAGGGGGCUAGCGUUGUUCGGAUUUACUGGGCGUAAAGCGCACGUAGGCGGACUAUUAAGUCAGGGGUGAAAUCCCGGGGCUCAACCCCGGAACUGCCUUUGAUACUGGUAGUCUUGAGUUCGAGAGAGGUGAGUGGAAUUCCGAGUGUAGAGGUGAAAUUCGUAGAUAUUCGGAGGAACACCAGUGGCGAAGGCGGCUCACUGGCUCGAUACUGACGCUGAGGUGCGAAAGCGUGGGGAGCAAACAGGAUUAGAUACCCCAGUAGUCCC